rnacentral:rRNA from 1 species
UACAGAGGGUGCGAGCGUUGUCCGGAAUCACUGGGCGUAAAGGGCGCGUAGGCGGCUGAUUUAGUCGAGGGUGAAAGCCCGUGGCUCAACCACGGAAUGGCCUUCGAUACUGGUUGGCUUGAGACCGGAAGAGGACAGCGGAACUGCGAGUGUAGCGGUGAAAUGCGCAGAUAUCAGGAGGAACACCGGUGGCGAAGGCGGGGUCUCUGGGCCGAUACUGACGCUGAGGAGCGAAAGCGUGGGGGAGCAAACAGG